rnacentral:rRNA from 1 species
GGACUACUAGGGUUUCUAAUCCUGUUUGCUCCCCACGCUUUCGCGCCUCAGCGUCAGUUGUGAGCCAGAAAGCCGCCUUCGCCUCUGGUGUUCUUCCUAAUAUCUACGAAUUUCACCUCUACACUAGGAAUUCCACUUUCCUCUCUCACACUCUAGCCUACCAGUAUGAAACGCACCUCCUGGGUUAAGCCCAGGGCUUUCACGCCUCACUUAAUAGACCGCCUACGCGCCCUUUACGCCCAGUCAUUCCGAACAACGCUAGCCCCCUCCGUCUUACCGCGGCUGCUGGCAC